rnacentral:rRNA from 1 species
CAGCAGCCGCGGUAAUACAGAGGGUGCAAGCGUUAAUCGGAUUUACUGGGCGUAAAGGGCGCGUAGGUGGUUAUUUAAGUGAGAUGUGAAAUCCCCGGGCUUAACCUGGGAACUACAUCUUAUACUGGGUAACUGGAGUGCAAUAGAGGGUAGUGGAAUUUCCGGUGUAGCGGUGAAAUGCGUAGAUAUCGGAAGGAACACCAGUGGCGAAGGCGGCUACCUGGAUUGACACUGACACUGAGGCGCGAGAGCGUGGGGAGCAAACAGGAUUAGAUACCCCUGUAGUCCCUGUCUCUUAUAC